UCGGGAAUUUUGGGCAAUGGGGGAAACCCUGACCCAGCAACGCCGCGUGAAGGAUGAAGUAUUUCGGUAUGUAAACUUCGAAAGAAUAGGAAGAAUAAAUGACGGUACUAUUUAUAAGGUCCGGCUAACUACGUGCCAGCAGCCGCGGUAAUACGUAGGGACCAAGCGUUGUUCGGAUUUACUGGGCGUAAAGGGCGCGUAGGCGGCAUGACAAGUCACUUGUGAAAUCUCUGGGCUUAACCCAGAACGGCCAAGUGAUACUGUCGUGCUAGAGUGCAGAAGGGGCAAUCGGAAUUCUUGGUGUAGCGGUGAAAUGCGUAGAUAUCAAGAGGAACACCUGAGGUGAAGACGGGUUGCUGGGCUGACACUGACGCUGAGGCGCGAAAGCCAGGGGGAGCAAACGGGGAUUAGAU
rnacentral:rRNA from 1 species